CCUACGGGGGGCUGCAGUGAGGAAUAUUGGUCAAUGGGCGCAAGCCUGAACCAGCCAAGUCGCGUGAGGGAUGACGGUCCUAUGGGUUGUAAACUUCUUUUAUAUGGGAAUAAAAUGUUCCACGUGUGGGAUUUUGUAUGUACCAUAUGAAUAAGGAUCGGCUAACUCCGUGCCAGCAGCCGCGGUAAUACGGAGGAUCCGAGCGUUAUCCGGAUUUAUUGGGUUUAAAGGGAGCGUAGGUGGAUUGUUAAGUCAGUUGUGAAAGUUUGCGGCUCAACCGUAAAAUUGCAGUUGAAACUGGCAGUCUUGAGUACAGUAGAGGUGGGCGGAAUUCGUGGUGUAGCGGUGAAAUGCUUAGAUAUCACGAAGAACUCCGAUUGCGAAGGCAGCUCACUGGACUACAACUGACACUGAGGCUCGAAAGUGUGGGUAUCAAACAGGAUUAGAUACCCCUGUAGUC
rnacentral:rRNA from 1 species